ACAGUUCUUCGCGAGCCGUUCCGUCGAUAACACGUGCGUGCAUUUCCUCCGGAAGUUCGUCGCGCGCCUUCGGUGAUCCUUCUCGAGUAGAGUGUGGUGUCCUUUCUGGUCGGUUCUGUGGGUUUUUUCUUCCACCCAUCAUUGGUCGGUCUGUCGCGGGAAAAGUCAAGCCAGUGGAAAAUACCAUUACCUCCUCCUGGUGGUGGAUCUCUCAUUGCGGAUUACUCCUCUUGAAAUGUGACACUUGCUGCUGGAUAGAAUUUCACUCGCGCGCGUUGAAACUUCUGUGCAUCGGUUGAAUGGCACCAACAAUAAUGUUCUGUGUAGUGGCUUCCAGUGAAUAAAAUGGCAACAAAUCACAAAUAACCUCCACCGUGUCUGUCUGCCGCCAUUUUCCAACCUCCCAAGGUGAGGUGGAGCAAUCCAUUUUGUUUUUUUUCUUCUGCUGCAACACGCCGCCGAAUGGGUGAGUGACAAAUGGGACAGUGGACGCCAUUUCUCCAAACCAAUUAGGAACAAACAAUCCUCGGUCUUGUGGUCAUCAAACAAAACCUGAACGAGCGCAAAAUUUUUGUGUAGGUAUCCUCGUGGACGUCCUCUUGGUGCAAAGUUGCUGCUGAUUAAAAAUCUUGGCUGGAGUGCUGAGCAGCUUAACCAAGUGGAAAAUCGUUGCACACAAAUAGUGGGUGGAAAAACUAACGACGAGCAAAUAAAGAAAAACUAACUGUGUGUGCGGGUGUGGAAAAUUUGUGUGCUUGAAGAGGAUACGGAAAAAAAAUCCUAACAGAAAGCAAACGCGGGAAGAAAACCUUACUAGGGUGGUGCGAAAAAAGGGUCUCCCGGGCUAGAUCAGGGUGGCGGACCACGUUAACGGGAGCACAUUUCCGCCGGAUCUCUACGAGGCAUUCGCGGACAACGCCGAGCUAGAAUGUCUGCUGCAGGCACACCUGGAUGCACAAGCCGAGAUUCCAUUCGAUGGCUGCUCGGCGCACUUUGACAAGAUCCUGUGCUGGCCGAAAACUCCACGCGGUACCUGGGCAGUUCUUCCGUGCUUCGAAGAAUUCAAGGGCGUCCAUUAUGACGUUACAC